GACGAACGCUGGCGGCGUGCUUAACACAUGCAAGUCGAACGGAAAGGCCCUGCUUUUGUGGGGUGCUCGAGUGGCGAACGGGUGAGUAACACGUGAGUAACCUGCCCUUGAUUUUGGGAUAACUUCAGGAAACUGGGGCUAAUACCGGAUAGGAGCUCCUGCUGCAUGGUGGGGGUUGGAACGUUUCUGCGGUUUGGGAUGGACUCGCGGAUUAUCAGCUUGUUGGUGGGGUAGUGGCUUGCCAAGGCUUUGACGGGUAGCCGGCCUGGGAGGGGGACCGGGCACAUUGGGACUGCGAGACGGCGCAGUCUGCUACGGGAGGCAGUAGGGGGGAAUAUUGCACAAUGGGCGGAAGUCUGAUGCAGCAGCGCCGGGUGCGGGAUGACGGCCUUUGGGUUGUAAACCGCUUUCGCCUGUGACGAAGCGUGAGUGACGGUAAUGGGUAAAGAAGCACCGGCUAACUACGUG
rnacentral:rRNA from 1 species